CGAAGUCUAACAAAACCUUCUUUUAUGUUCUACAAUGCGACCGCCAUCUUUACACUGCAACUUCUUCUCCUCUCUCAAACAGGUUGAGAAAAGAUUGAAACUUGAAGAAAACCAACCAGAUUCAGGCCCAUCCAGUUCAACCCCAUCCCAUGUUCCUGAAACUAAUCCUACGCCAACACAAUCUUUGGGCACACCGCUUUACCUGCACUUAACCAACCCUUCCAGCCCCAACGUUAGCAACACUGUCGAAGACAGUGAACCCCCACGAGCUUUCAUCUCUUCUUUUACUUCACCACAGUUGCUUCCAACAGACGAAACCCAACGUCAGAUAAACCUUCAGAUUCUCCCAUAAGAAAAGACAGGGAUGAAAUCGAGUAUUUGAUGCAACUUUUGGGUUUAUCUGAUAAUUUUGAAGAAACCCAGAAAAAGGGGAAGCAGAAGACUGUCGUUUGUGGAGGGAAUUCUUGUGGGUGUGAGUGUGGGUUUUAUGAGAAGAUUGUUGGGGUUAAAGGGCCAAAGUGUGAGAAGGAAGUGGAAAGGAUGGAAGGUUGGAUUAGAUACUUCUUGGGGAAUGGUAGUGAGCCUUUGAGGCUGGCUUUCUUGCUUAUGGGAAAAGCUGCUUUUGAGAGUGGUGAUGAAUGUGGGUUUCAAUGCCUGGAGUUCCCUUCUGCCAUAGACGAAUUUUUGAAGAUUGAUCCUCCUAAAGACUGAGAGCCUGAGACAUUAUUAGAGUUCUUAUCCAAUGGAUUUUCUUCUUUCUCCAUUGGCUUGAAGUUUGAAGCUUUUGCAUAUCACCAUUUCAUGUCAGCUUGUAAGAGGAGAGUCCGAGUCAUUGGUUUGUUUGAAGAAUUUUCUGGCAUAUGGAGAAAUUAGUAAGUGCAUUAAUAAGUUGAAGUAAUUGAAGAAUACCUGGUGCCAAGUAGCCAAUAGUGCCUUCAAAUGCUGAUGUUGAU